rnacentral:tRNA from 1 species
UGGCCGACCGUGCGGCCACGCUCGCCUCGCAGGCGUGCAACAGGCAGACCGGUCUCGGCAUGCGCGCGUUCGAUGAGCGCGUCGCCCAG